rnacentral:rRNA from 1 species
CACGUAGGGGGCAAGCGUUGUCCGGAUUUAUUGGGCGUAAAGAGCUCGUAGGCGGUUUCGUAAGUCGGGUGUGAAAACUCUGGGCUCAACCCAGAGACGCCACCCGAUACUGCGAUGACUAGAGUCUGGUAGGGGAUCGUGGAAUUCCUGGUGUAGCGGUGAAAUGCGCAGAUAUCAGGAGGAACACCAGCGGCGAAGGCGGCGAUCUGGGCCAGUACUGACGCUGAGGAGCGAAAGCGUGGGGAGCGAACAGG